GAUGAACGCUAGCGGCAGGCUUAAUACAUGCAAGUCGAGGGGUAGCAAGAUUGUAGCAAUACAAUUGUUGACGACCGGCAAACGGGUGCGGAACACGUACACAACCUUCCUGCAAGUGGGGAAUAGCCCAGAGAAAUUUGGAUUAAUACCCCGUAACAUAGCGAUGUGGCAUCACAUUGCUAUUAUAUCUUCGGCGCUUGUUGAUGGGUGUGCGGCGGAUUAGAUAGUUGGCGGGGUAACGGCCAACCAAGUCUACGAUCAGUAGCUGAUGUGAGAGCAGGAUCAGCCACACGGGCACUGAGACACGGGCCCGACUCCUACGGGAGGCAGCAGUAAGGAAUAUUGGACAAUGGACGCAAGUCUGAUCCAGCCAUGCCGCGUGAAGGAUUAAGGUCCUCUGGAUUGUAAACUUCUUUUAUAAGGGACGAAAAAAGGUCUUUCUAGAUCGUCUGACGGUACCUUAUGAAUAAGCACCGGCUAACUCCGUGCCAGCCGCCGCCGUAAUAC
rnacentral:rRNA from 1 species